rnacentral:rRNA from 1 species
UAGAGUAAUGCGUGACCAACCUGCCCCAUGCUCCAGAAUAGCUCUUGGAAACGGGUGGUAAUGCUGGAUGCUCCAACUUGACGCAUGUCUUGUUGGGAAAGUGUUUAGUGGCAUGGGAUGGGGUCGCGUCCUAUCAGCUUGUAGGCGGGGUAAUGGCCCACCUAGGCUUCGACGGGUAGCCGGCCUGAGAGGGCGGACGGCCACAUUGGGACUGAGAUACGGCCCAGACUCCUACGGGAGGCAGCAGCC